UGAAGCUGGAAUUGCUAGUAAUGGCAGGUCAGCAUACUGCCGUGAAUACGUUCCCGGGCCUUGUACACACCGCCCGUCACACCAUGGGAGCCGGUAAUACCCGAAGUCAGUAGUCCAACCUCGUGAGGACGCUGCCGAAGGUAGGAUUGGCGACUGGGGUGAAGUCGUAACAAGGUAAC
rnacentral:rRNA from 1 species